UACGGAGGGUGCAAGCGUUAUCCGGAUUCACUGGGUUUAAAGGGUGCGUAGGCGGGUUGGUAAGUCCGUGGUGAAAUCCCCAAGCUUAACUUGGGAACUGCCGUGGAUACUAUCAAUCUUGAAUAUCGUGGAGGUAAGCGGAAUAUGUCAUGUAGCGGUGAAAUGCUUAGAUAUGACAUAGAACACCUAUUGCGUAGGCAGCUUACUACACGAUCAUUGACGCUGAGGCACGAAAGCGUGGGGAGCAAACAGG
rnacentral:rRNA from 1 species